rnacentral:rRNA from 1 species
GAUGAACGCUAGCGGCAGGCCUAAUACAUGCAAGUCGAACGGUGAUAGCAAUAUCAUAGUGGCGCACGGGUGCGUAACACGUAUGCAACCUACCUAUUAUUGGGGGAUAGCCUUUGGAAACGGAGAUUAACACCGCAUAAUACGAUUGACUGGCAUCGGUUGAUUGUUAAAGCUUCGGCGAUAAUAGAUGGGCAUGCGUCCAAUUAGUUAGUUGGUGAGGUAAUGGCUCACCAAGACGAUGAUUGGUAGGGGAUCUGAGAGGAUAACCCCCCACACUGGCACUGAGAUACGGGCCAGACUCCUACGGGAGGUAGCAGUAGGGAAUAUUGGGCAAUGGAGGGAACUCUGACCCAGCCAUGCCGCGUGCAGGAAGAAGGCGUUAUGCGUUGUAAACUGCUUUUUUAUAGGAAGAAGGAUCUCUUGCGAGAGAAGGUGACGGUACUAUAAGAAUAAGCACCGGCUAACUCCGUGCCAGCAGCCGCCGUAAAAC